GGAGAGGGAGCCUGAGAAAUGGCUACCACUUCUAAGGAGGGCAGCAGGCGCGCAAAUUACCCAAUCCUAAUACGGGGAGGUAGUGACAAUAAAUAACAAUGCUGGUAUUAAUAUACUAGUAAUUGGAAUGAGAACAAUUUAAACCCCUUAUCGAGUAACCAUCAGAGGGCAAGUCUGGUGCCAGCAGCCGCGGUAAUUCCAGCUCUGAUAGCGUAUAUUAAAAGUUGUUGCAGUUAAAAAGCUCGUAGUUGGAUAUUAGGAUCUACUUGUAUGGUCGGUUGUGAUAAACAAUCUUGUACUGUAUAAGUGAUUCUUUCUACUGGUUACUCGACUCUGUCCUUUACUGAUGAGUAGUGUCGCAAGGCAUCGCUUGAUGUUAUAUUGCCUAUGACUGUAGUUAUUGGUAAAACGUGUAGUGAAAUUCAUGGAGUCACAGUAUGAUAUUAAGU
rnacentral:rRNA from 1 species